GUCUAUCUUCCUUAUCCCUUUUACAUUUCUCCGAUUUUGCUUUUUCAGGGCUUUGCCACCAACUAUUUGUAUAUAUGUUUACAAUUAAUGGUUCCUCUAAUUCUAGAUUUCUGGAUCAUCAGGUUUUAUUGAUAAUCACAACAUAACCAUUGUUGUUAAUUUUCAGUAAACAGUUGGUCUGUUAAAUUGAUUUUUAAAUAUGUAGUAAACAUGAGGUUUUUCUGAUCAUAUCAUAUGUGAUAAAGUGUUGAAGAAGGGAGAGGAAGAAAGAAAAGUCAGGAAGGUAGUGGUGAUCAUGUGAUUGACAGGAAGUAUAAGCCUAGGAGGAAAAUUGGUAAUGGAUCUUUUUGACAGCUUUAUAUGAGUACAUUAUUUAUUUUCUCAUAUCGUAGCACCUUUGUUGUUCUUAUGUUAUACUUUUUUGUUGCAUUCUUCAAUGGUUUCCUUUUCCUCCGAGGAGUAAUUGUUCAAAGAUGAGAAGUUACAGUGAAAAUGUCGGUGUUCCGCACCUUAAAUGGAUCGGAGUAAUGAGGUCCAUGCUGCUAUUAAAUCAACAUGACAAUGAAGUUUUGCAUGCUCGAAUGAUGGGAUCUAGUCCAAGAUUAUUUCCCAUAAAAACUUUAAUCAAAAUCACUCCAUUCUAGAUUACAAAUCGAGCAAGAUCAAACAUAAUAUAAUCAAAGCAAGAUGAAGAUCAAAAAAAUCAAGCAAGAUGAAGACCGGAAACCUUCAACGAGAUCCAUUAGAACAGGGGGAGUGGGCAGCGGCCCCUGCCUCACUUGAGUGUCACAUCAGCAAGAACACCGCCCCUGGGUGCAGUAAAGGUGCGGUAGGGGGUCCACUGGCGACAUUCCAAGGGAGCACUCAUUCAAACAAUAUGAUUGGUCCCUUUUUUCUUAUCACCUCAUGACUGGUCUUUUUUAUUUAUUAUAAAAAUAAAAAAUUACCUAAGUGUGACACCACUCUUUGGGUGUGGUAUGAAACUACACUUUUGUGGUAGUUGUUGACGUGUCGCCUACGUGACAGUAAAAUGAGUGCAACUUUUGUAGCACCACUCCCUCCAACUUUACUGACAUCCGUGUCAAUGUUUCUAACCUUAAAAUCAACACUUGUCAGCUUUAAUAUCAACAUCUUCCCGGACGAACAAAACCUAAAAAAUCAAUUCUCAGUGUUAUGAUUCUUAAACUUAUGUUCUUAAUCCAUUCUAUUUUGGGUUCGUGUUCUGAAACUUGUGUUAUUAAUUCAUCCUCUAAAAAACCCUAAAGAACCUGCAGCAAGUAGAACGAUGGUGGUGCUCUAGGGACUGCUUUCUUGCUCUCAAAAAAUUAUCAAUCGAAUGGCAAUAUGAAUGAUCUCAACCUCUUUUCUCAGAUUAUCAAAGCUUGUGACUCAUUUUCUACAUACUCCAAGUAUCAUCUCUAGUAAUCUAUGUGACGUCGAUUCUACCAUAAAGGUUUAGUCAUGUAUCAAAAUAAGUAGAUUCUAUUGUUGUACUCCUAAAAUCUAAUUACACCAAGUUCACAAAUCUAUUACAAAUAAUGAUAUGAGAGGUGGCAUGUGUUUUGAUUCUUGUUAGGGUUGGUUGUGAUGUUGGUGGUUUGGUGUUCAAUGGCCAAUUUUUGAUAAAAGUUUCACAAAUUAUGGCUCAUGAUUUAAAAUUACAUGAUUUAGAGCAAGUGGCUUGUUUUGGUGUUCGAUUUUGGGGGAAAUGAAACGCUAUGUUGCUAUUAUAGUGGGCUGGGCUCAUUCUUAUAGUUUUAAUUAUUAAAGUACUAAAGUGAUAUAGAAAAGGAACUAAAAGAGCAAAACAAACA